UGCGAGUUCACGAUGAACGGUAUGAUUGCAUAGCACAAUUCAUGGUAAUAUCCUUUCCUGAGCAUCAGUCUUGUUACAUUUGUUUCAUCCAUGGAGGUUGAUUUUGCAGAACAUACACACAGGAAGCCUUUCUCAUCCUUUCUCAUCUUUCUCGACCGAAUCAGGGAAACGCCCACAUUGCAGCCACCAAAAUACAACUAAUCAUCACUCUACCCGCAAUGGAUAUUUUUUUCUGAAGAUAUCUGUUGUGCUGGUCUUACAAAUUCGUUGUAGCUGCAGGUAAGGGAAAUGGCACGACCAGCGGCAUUGCAAAUAAAUUGCAACUCUGCACUAAGAUCAUUGGCUCAUGACUCACUUUCUGUUCUGAAAGUAUACUUGUCUACUUCCUUUUUGUGUUUAUUUCUCUUUAUUUUUGCACUUUGGUAACCUGGAGCAGUCAUUAGUUCUAUUAUUAUUUUCAGUUGAGAACCCCAAAUAUGCUCUACAUAAUGACAAAUAAAAUCACCUAUAACACAAUUGACACAUCUUCUGUCCCCAAUCCAACAUAUAUUUAUUCUCUCUGUUUUAUCUAAUUAUGCUGGGAAAGGGGGGGAUCUGAACUAAAUUCUCUCAGUAGAUUGGCUACCAUGUUUCGUAUAUGAGAAUCUAAACAGUUUACAUAUCUGAUCCAAUAUGUUUAGGAAAAACUGGCCUUGAUUCUGAAAUGGAUAAUCUAAUAUUAAGGCAAGUUUUUAGCAAACUGAGUAUGCUACAUAAGAUCUGCUAUGUGCCAUCAUGCAAAUACAUUGCCUCAAAGGUCGCGGUGUUAAUCUUUUUACAAAAGGCAACUUGCUAGGAUUGGUUCUCAGUCGAGGAAGCGAUGCACACGAGGGCAUGCUUGCAGGAGCAGAGGAUCCUCACUCCUUCUUAGUGGUCGCUUGAAGGAGAUGUCCAUCCUUGAUCACUGGCUGCCUUAUGGUUCAAGUAUUGCACUAAGUUAUUUCUAGACAUAGGCCAAAUGAUGAAAUAAAGAGUUAGUGGGUCCAAGAAUCAGUGGAUAGCAGCAGGUCUCAGUAGACCUUUUUCUACAACAAUAACUUCCAUAGCAAUUCAUACAACAUUCACGACAUUAAUUCUAUCAAGGUGGAUUGAGGAACCAAGGGGCAUAAUACAAUAGUGAAAAAAGGAUAAAAGUUCGAACACUAAUGAGCCAAAUCUGACCAGCUCCAGGUUCUUUUCAAUUCCGUAGACAUCAACAAGACAUUCAAGCCAAGACCUAUAAACUGGUAAUUAUACCAUUUUUCUUCUAUUUGAAGAAGCUAUGAUCACAAGAGAAGUUCUAUUGAGAAAGAUCAAUUCAGCUUCCACUAGCGUGGUAUACUGGAUCAUGAUCAUAUACCGGCAGUGCUUGGUUACCCACAUAGCUGUAACAUGGGAAACUAUAUUAUGUUUCCACAGUUCAGUUUUUUCGUCAUCAAUAUUUAUGUAUUAGUGCUGCUAUAUCAAUAUAUCUCACUGAACAAUGCUCAAAUUCCCAUGUUGAUCCAUUCCAAAUGGACUAUGCAGCUUUAGUAAUUAAGUUCAGAUAGUUGACCAGGAG